rnacentral:rRNA from 1 species
CCUCCUUUGUUCCUCCUUUUUUCAUAUUUUUCAAUGUUCGCAAUCCUGACCCAGCAACGCCGCGUGAAGGAAGAAGGCUUUCGGGUUGUAAACUUCUUUUGUCAGGGAAGAGUAGAAGAUGGUACCUGACGAAUAAGCCACGGCUAACUACGUGCCAGCAGCCGCGGGACUACGUAGGUGGCAAGCGUUGUCCGGAUUUACUGGGUGUAAAGGGCGUGUAGCCGGGUUGACAAGUCAGAUGUGAAAUCCUGCGGCUUAACCGCAGAACUGCAUUUGAAACUGGUGAUCUUGAGUACUGGAGAGGCAGAUGGAAUUCCUGGUGUAGCGGUGAAAUGCGUAGAUAUUAGGAGGAACACCAGUGGCGAAGGCGGUCUGCUGGACAGAAACUGACGGUGAGGCGCGAAAGCGUGGGGAGCAAACAGGAUUAGAUACCCCUGUAGUC